CUUUCGUACAGACUGCUGCCACGCUGGCUGGCUAGGUCGCUCUGGAGAGUGAGGCCUUCCAUAGGGGGCCUUCAGAGUCUAUCAUAUCCUUUGGGAUAGGGCCUAGGCCCACCCCACGUGAAGCAGCAAUCUUCUAUUAUCCAGUUAUUCUAAGCACAGACUGAAAUCUGAGCAGCUCUCAAUCUCACAACCUGAGUCGUUCCUUGGGAUCCAAUCACUGUGGCACAGGAUUUUCUCAGUCUCUACUCAAGGGGAGUCUAGAACAAGUUGCUAUCAUUCAGAAGAAUGAAAUGUCCAUCUUCAGCAUGCUAUGUGAGGCUACAUUCUCACUGCUUCAAGGGGAAUCAACAACAAUGGCUGCAGCAAUAAAAACAAACAAACAAACAAAAAAACAACAUUGCUAGUA